UACGUAGGGUGCGAGCGUUAAUCGGAAUUACUGGGCGUAAAGCGUGCGCAGGCGGUUUUGUAAGCCAGAUGUGAAAUCCCCGGGCUUAACCUGGGAAUGGCAUUUGGGACUGCAAGGCUGGAGUUUGGCAGAGGAGACUGGAAUUCCUGGUGUAGCAGUGAAAUGCGUAGAUAUCAGGAGGAACACCGGUGGCGAAGGCGGUUCUCUGGGCCUGUACUGACGCUGAGGAACGAAAGCGUGGGGAGCGAACAGG
rnacentral:rRNA from 1 species